rnacentral:tRNA from 1 species
GGAGGGAUGCUCUAAGGUAGAGCAGCGGACUGUAAAUCCGUCGAGGAGACUCACAGUGGGUUCGAUUCCCACCCCUCCCA